GCUCCCAUGGCGUAGUGGUCACUGCGCUCGCCUUGCACGCGGGAGACCAGGGUUCGAUUCCCGGCGGGGUCA
rnacentral:tRNA from 1 species